UACGAAGGGGCAGAGCGUGUUCGGUGAAUUACUGGGCGUAAAGCGCACGUAGGCGGAUAUUUAAGUCAGGGGUGAAAUCCCAGAGCUCAACUCUGGAACUGCCUUUGAUACUGGGUAUCUUGAGUAUGGAAGAGGUAAGUGGAAUUGCGAGUGUAGAGGUGAAAUUCGUAGAUAUUCGCAGGAACACCAGUGGCGAAGGCAGCUCGCUGGGACGUGACGUGACGCUGAGACGCAAAGCG
rnacentral:rRNA from 1 species